UGUUUUGAUUUUUGAAUUCUAAUAACUUUCCAAUUAAUUAAAGAAAUAAUUAUCUAAUUAAUUUUAUUUUCUUAAAUCUCUCUUUGCAAAAAAAAAAUAAAAAAUAAAAAUUCCCUAUAUCAUGGUUAGUUUUCACGACUAAAAAAGAAAUCCUAAUUUUCCUCUAAAAGUUUGCUUUUCCACUUUUUGCUCUUUCUUCUUCUAUUUUCUUGGAAACCAGUUUGUAACUGGUACUCUUUAAAAUAUCUUGUGGGUAGUACUUAAUAUUAUUUUGCUUUCAGAUGUCAAAGGCGCAUUGUAUUGAAGAGCUUUGUGAUUGUGGUUAUGAAGUUGAGAUUAAUACUGAUUGGAGCGACUUCGAUCCAGGGCGUUGUUGCUUGCCCUUUCUACUUGGCUAACGGAUUAGGAUGCACAUACUUUCGCUGGAUUGCUCCGGAGGGUACAAAAUGGCAGAGAGACUUAAUAAUACGGCUUGAGAAGGAAAAACAAGAGCUUAAAGAUGAGUUAUUUAAUCUAAAGAGACAAAUAAAUGAUAUGGCACAUAGGAAAGAAGAGACUGAAAGAAUUAUGAGAAAGUUAAAUAAGCCUUCUUAGUUACGGACGCUAGUUUAACUUAAUGCAUGAAGUAUGUAAUUGGAUUUGGAUUUGUUGAACUUGCUUGAAAUUGUGUUGAAUGUUGGAUAGCAACAUCCUUAUUUGAAUAUGAUUGUAUGUUUGUUUUUGAUUAAAUUCAUGCUGCAUUGUUCGCGGAAUGAUUCAUCGCCCAAAAGUCUGAGUAGUUAACAUCAAUUCACUCAUAAUAAACGUGUGAUACUACGGUAAAAAUAUAUACAUCUACAUAUAUGUUACAAUUUACACACAAAAGACCAACAGUUACAAAUGAGUAUGUACAAAUGUUCAAUAAUUACAAAACUAUUGUAAUGCUAAUCCUCCUCCUGUACCCUGUCUAAUUGUGACGGUUUACAACGCCUCCUACGAUAGUAAGAUGCAGUCGCAUGACGCUCGGGUAGGGGAGGGGAUUGAUAGUGUGAUGAUGUGGCACCCUGUGAGGACCCGACACCGUAGUCCGGGCACGUUAAGUCAACCUCCUCAAGAUGAACGUCGGGGUGAUGAGGAGAUGACUCGUACUCGUACGUAGUGGUGUGGGGCGCAGUCACUUCCGGAAUGAAGUGUUGAAACUGCGUGCCUAGGAGUAUGCCUUGGGCAAUCUCCCGUACGGGCUCCUCUU